rnacentral:rRNA from 1 species
UACGUAGGGGGCAAGCGUUGUCCGGAAUCAUUGGGCGUAAAGAGCGUGUAGGCGGCUCGAUAAGUCUGCUGUGAAAGUCCAGGGCUCAACCCUGGAAGGCCGGUGGAAACUGUCGGGCUAGAGUCCGGAAGAGGCGAGUGGAAUUCCCGGUGUAGCGGUGAAAUGCGUAGAGAUCCGGAGGAACCCCAGAGGCGAAGGCGGCCAGCUGGGCCGUCCCUGACGCUGAGGCGCGAAGGCGUGGGGAGCGAACGGG